UGGGAGUCAGAUACUGAGCUGUGCUCUGUCUGUCACUAGCCCUCCCUAUAGCCUCCUGAUCGGGGCGAGCUGAGAGAAAUCCCAGUGGACUGAUACGGGGCAGACAACU